rnacentral:rRNA from 1 species
UACGUAGGUGGCAAGCGUUGUCCGGAUUUACUGGGCGUAAAGAGCGCGCAGGCGGUCGGAUAAGUCGAAUGUGAAAGCCCCCGGCUCAACUGGGGAGGGUCAUUCGAUACUGUUCGACUGGAAGGCAGGAGAGGGAAGCGGAAUUCCCGGUGUAGUGGUGAAAUGCGUAGAUAUCGGGAGGAACACCAGUGGCGAAGGCAGGUCUCUGGGCCACUACUGACGCUGAGAAGCGAAAGCGUGGGGAGCGAACAGG